rnacentral:tRNA from 1 species
GUUCAGGGAUGGGAAUCGAACCCAACAGUGUCCCGUUUACCGGGCAGAUUCCAUGUCCACUAGGCUACCCUGGA